AGUGUUGAAACACCGGUUCUCCUACGAUCAUCGAAGUUAAGCAACGAUAAGCCUGGUUAGUACCCAGAAGGGCGACCGCUUGGGAAUACCAGGUGCUGUAAU